UUAGCUAUCUUUAACUUUACAACUGUUACCUGAUGUCAUCUGUACAUUAGGAACAAUUUGGGUUAUUUAUAGUAUUUUUAUUUAAUGUAUAGGGGCUGGACUGAUGUUAACCACCAGCUUGACCUUCUCUCUUGUUAACCAGCUUGAUUGUGUGUUGUGAAGUCAACCUAAUGGACCUACGACGAACAGAGAAAGGUUACAUAUCCAUCACAUUUACUUUGAAACACAGAAGGUGGUGGUCUGACCUGCUGUUGAUCAACUAAUAUAUAUUCAGUUUUUUUUUUUAUCUAAACUGGAUCUGAUUCAGCUGCAGCUCUUUUGGUUGUUCCAGUCAGAGAGAUGAAGAAGCUCUGUCACCUGUCUAACAGCAUCCUGAUAGUCAGCAUUUUACUGAUUGUCUUCUUUCUUCCAGGUGCUUUGGCUCAUUGUGGUCGUGUUCUAACCCAGCACAUGUAUACACCACGUGAGAUGGAAGCUCUGAUUGGAUCUUGUGUGGAAAUCCCAUGUAAAUUUGGUACGCCGCCAGGAUUUGACAACAGCAAACCCACUUUACGGAAUCUGGAUGAAACAUAUGCCGAUACAUGAUGUGGGAGCAAGUGAAAUUAUUUUUAACAGCAGUGGGUCAAUUAACACCCAUCGAAUGGAAAUGAUUGGAGAUUUGAGAAGGAAAAACUGCACCACUCGGAUUCCUGAUGUAAAAGCAGAUCUUACAGACAAGUACUUCUUAAGAAUUGAGAACGGGGAAGCGAAAGCAACAUUUUGUGAAGAUCCUUUUAAGUUAACAGUUAUAGGUAAGAGAUCUGUUUCUUAUUGCUGUGUAAUAUACACUCACCAGCCACUUUAUUAGGUACGCCUUGCUAGUACUGUCUUGG